rnacentral:rRNA from 1 species
UACGUAGGGUGCAGGCGUUAAUCGGAAUUACUGGGCGUAAAGCGUGCGCAGGCGGUUUGCUAAGACAGGUGUGAAAUCCCCGGGCUUAACCUGGGAACUGCAUUUGUGACUGCAUAGCUAGAGUACGGUAGAGGGGGAUGGAAUUCCGCGUGUAGCAGUGAAAUGCGUAGAGAUGUGGAGGAAUACCGAUGGCGAAGGCAGCCCCCUGGGAUAACACUGACGCUCAUGCACGAAAGCGUGGGGAGCAAACAGG